GAUGAACGCUGGCGGCGUGCCUAAUACAUGCAAGUCGAGCGAACGGACGAGAAGCUUGCUUCUCUGAUGUUAGCGGCGGACGGGUGAGUAACACGUGUAUAACCUACCUAUAAGACUGGGGUAACUUCGGGAAACCGGAGCUAAUACCGGAUAAUAUUUUGAACCGCAUGGUUCAAAAGUGAAAGACGGUCUUGCUGUCACUUAUAGAUGGAUCCGCGCUGCAUUAGCUAGUUGGUAAGGUAACGGCUUACCAAGGCAACGAUGCAUAGCCGACCUGAGAGGGUGAUCGGCCACACUGGAACUGAGACACGGUCCAGACUCCUACGGGAGGCAGCAGUAGGGAAUCUUCCGCAAUGGGCGAAAGCCUGACGGAGCAACGCCGCGUGAGUGAUGAAGGUCUUCGGAUCGUAAAACUCUGUUAUUAGGGAAGAACAUAUGUGUAAGUAACUGUGCACAUCUUGACGGUACCUAAUCAGAAAGCCACGGCUAACUACGUG
rnacentral:rRNA from 1 species